AUUGAACGCUGGCGGCAGGCCUAACACAUGCAAGUCGAGCGAGUGGCGGACGGGUGAGUAAUGUCUGGGAAACUGCCCGAUGGAGGGGGAUAACUACUGGAAACGGUAGCUAAUACCGCAUACCAUCAGAUGUGCCCAGAUGGGAUUAGCUAGUGGGUGGGGUAACGGCUCACCUAGGCGACGAUCCCUAGCUGGGCUGAGAGGAUGACCAGCCACACUGGAACUGAGACACGGGCCAGACUCCUACGGGAGGCAGCAGUGGGGAAUAUUGCACAAUGGGCGCAAGCCUGAUGCAGCCAUGCCGCGUGUAUGAAGAAGGCCUUCGGGUUGUAAAGUACUUUCAGCGGGGAGGCGUUACCCGCAGAAGAAGCACCGGCUAACUCCGUGCCAGCAGCCGCGGUAAUAC
rnacentral:rRNA from 1 species